rnacentral:rRNA from 9 species
GCGACCCCAGGUCAGGCGGGGCCACCCGCUGAGUUUAA